AUUGAACGCUGGCGGUAUGCUUAACACAUGCAAGUCGAACGGCAGCACAGUAUGUAGCAAUACAUAUGGGUGGCGAGUGGCGGACGGGUGAGUAACGCGUAGGAAUCUACCCUAAGCGGGGGACAACCCGAGGAAACUCGGGCUAAUACCGCAUAAUCUCGAAAGAGUAAAGCUGGGGCAACCUGACACUUUAGGAGGAGCCUGCGUCCGAUUAGCUAGUUGGUGAGGUAAAGGCUCACCAAGGCGAUGAUCGGUAGCUGGUUUGAGAGGAUGAUCAGCCACACUGGGACUGAGACACGGCCCAGACUCCUACGGGAGGCAGCAGUGGGGAAUAUUGGACAAUGGGGGCAACCCUGAUCCAGCAAUACCGCGUGUGUGAGGAAGGCCUUAGGGUUGUAAAGCACUUUAGUUGGGGAAGAAGGAUAGUUGUUUAAGAGAUGAUUAUUUUGACGGUACCCAAAGAAUAAGCACCGGCUAACUCUGUGCCAGCCGCCGCAGUAA
rnacentral:rRNA from 1 species